UAGUACUACCUCCAUGAUCCCACACUCCUAAUCAUAUGGGCUAAAAUGUUGCACAUUCAAUCUUUGGGAAGAUAUAAAGAAAAAGACAUAUACAUAGAUAGAUUAUCUUUCCAUAAGGUUGAGCGAUCUGAUCUGACAAUUGUUUUAAAUGCUACACUCAUGAACUUAACACCCAUCAACUUUAUCUUGCUCCGUAUGCUUAAGGAUAGAGAAGAAUAAAUAUACUUUUGGUUCUGUUGGUGUUUUCCACCAACAGGACCCAUGCACUUGAUCUCUGCCUUGUCUCUAUGAGCAGGACACAUUUUGAGAAGCAUGGAGGAUUUUUCAAGUCUCAGACUCUACCAAGUGAAGGACCUAGAUCAACGAGCACAAACACACUGAGCAAGAUACUGCCAACGCCGCACUUUGAACUGCUGGGCAAACGAAGAACAUGGGUGACACCAUAUCAAGAGCUGCAGGCGUCAAGGUCCACACCAGAAUCAAAUGACGCACCUAAAGAAUGAACACGGUGAGAAGUCUUGUUCAGAAGACUUAAAACAUUGAACCCUCGCCGAAAGGUAAAAUCGGUAGUUAUCCGUAUUUAUCCUUUCUGCAUUCCCUUUUCCCUUAAAUUAUUUACUUUCCUUAAAUGGCUUGUUAGUUAAUCAUGCUAUCUUGAAAAGAAAAUAAAAAUAUUAAAAAUAGUAAGCCCUAUGUGAGUAUGCUCGUGGCAUAAAAGCCAUAAGUACAUUCACUUUGGUGGCAUAAAAAUAAAAAUAUUCCUGUCCUAUAAAAAGGAAAAUAUAAAAAUAAAUUUAUGAUCCUACCAAAGAGAGUAAAUAUUUAUUAGAGGAAGCUCAGCACGAUAAAGGCAAAGAGAUUUUUAUGCUAACACUUAACCAGUUCCACAAAGCUUUGUUGUCUAUUUGAGCUCCACAGAAUUCAAGUAUCAAAGAAGACAAGCAGACGGAGGACGUCCUAAUCGCUGUCAAGGUAUUGUCGACAUUCAAAUACACCUCCGCCACCUGCUAGUUACAUCAGAAGAAAUUACAUCAAAAUCCAGCU
rnacentral:lncRNA from 1 species